rnacentral:lncRNA from 1 species
UGUCGCAAUAGCAACAAGUUGAAUAGAUAUCCCUGUAUAAACAUGUGACGCCCACGAUUCAAUCGUACACUAAUCAUACACGCAAACGUGUACGAUCAAGAUCAGGGACUCACGGGAAGAUAUCACAACACAACUCUAAAAAUAAGUCAUAUAAGCAUCAUAAUACAAGUCAGGGGCCUCGAGGGCUCGAAUACAAAUGCUCGAUCAUAGACGAGUCAACGGAAGCAACAAUAUCUGAGUACAGACAUAAGUUAAACAAGUUGCCUUAAGAAGGCUAGCACAAACUGGGAUACAAAUCAAAAGAGGCAUAGGCCUCCUGCCUGGGAUCCUCCUAACUACUCCUGGUCGUCGUCAGCGGGCUACACAUAGUAGUAGGCACCUCCGGUGUAGUAGGAGUCGUCGUCAACGAUGGCGUCUGGAUCCUGGGCUCCCUCGUCUGGUCGCCGCAAUCGGGUAUAGAAAAAGGGAAAAGGGGGAACAAGGCAACCGUGAGUACUCAUCCAAUGUACUCGCAAGCAAGGAGCUACACUACAUAUGCAUGGGUAUAUGUGUAAAGGGCCAUAUCAGUGGACUGAACUGCAGAAUGCCAGAAUAAGAGGGGGAUAGCUAAUCCUGUCGAAGACUACACUUCUGGCAGCCUCCGUCUUGCAGCAUGUAGAAGAGAGUAGACUGAAGUCCUCCAAGUAGCAUCGCAUAGCAUAAUCCUACCCGACGAUCCCCUCCUCGAUGCCCUGUUAGAGAGCGAUCACCGGGUUGUAUCUGGCACUUGAAAGGGUGUGUUUUAUUAAGUAUCCGGUUCUACUUGUCAUAAGGUCAAGGUACAACUCCAAGUCGUCCUGUUACCGAAGAUCACGGCUAUUCGAAUAGAUAAACUUCCCUACAGGGGUGCACCACAUUUCCCAACACGCUCGAUCCCAUUCAGCCGGACACACUUUCCUGGAUCAUGCCCGGCCUCGAAAGAUCAACACGUCGCAGCCCCACCUAGGCACAACAGAGAGGUCAGCACGCCGGUCUAAAUCCUAUGCACGCAGGGGUCUGGGCCCAUCGCCCAUUGCACACCUGCACGUUGCGUACGCGGCUGGAGAGCAGACCUAGCAACCUCCAUUACAAAGGAAGUCACGUUACACAGUUCAACCCGAUGCACGCCGCUCAGUCGCUGACGUCACGAAGGCUUUGGCUGAUACAACGAUGUCGAGUGCUCAUAUCUUUCCCGCGUAGUUGGUUAGUGCGUAUAGGCCAGUAGCCAGACUCAGAUCAAAUACCAAGAUCUCGUUAAGCGUGUUAAGUAUCCGCGAACGCCGACCAGGGCCAGGCCCACCUCUCUCCUAGGUGGUCUCAACCUGCCCUGUCGCUCCGCCACAAAGUAACAGUCGGGGGUCGUCGGGAACCCAGGCCCACCACUACCUGGGUGGAACCACCUGCCCCUUCAGCCCCCAUCUCCAAACAGCAUCACAGGUAAUGUAACAGUGUAAAGUAUAUAGUAUAUGCCCGUGAUCACCUCCCGAAGUGAUCACGGCCCAGUAGUAUAGUAUGGCAGACGGACAAGAGUGUAGGGCCACUGAUGGAACACUAGCGUCCUAUACUAAGCAGUAGGAUAGCAGGUAAAGGUAACAACAGUAGUAGCAAGGACAGGCUAUGCAGCAGUAUAGGAUUAACUGAAAGCAGUAACAUGCUAGACUACUCUAAUGCAAGCAGUAUAGAGAAGAAUAGGCGAUAUCUGGUGAUCAAGGGGGGGCUUGCCUGGUUGCUCUCGCAAGGAGGGGCCAUCUUCGAUGUAGUCGAACACACGAACAUCGGCAGCGGUCUCGGAGUCUACCGGAAAGAAGUAACGGAGGGGAACACAAUAAAUAACAGAGCAAUCAAAUGUAACACAAAGCAAGACGCGGCAAUACAUUGUGCUAAGGGUGACCUCACGCAGGGAUAGGUGAUACCGGCGAAAGGGGAAACAUCCGGGAAAGUAUCCCCGGUGUUUCGCGUUUUCGGACAAAUGAACCGGAGGGAAAAAGUUUCGUGUUUGUUAUGCUAGGGAUGUGUGGCGGACAAACGGGCUACACAUACGGAUUCGUCUUGUCGUUCUGAGCAACUUUCAUGUACAAAGUUUUUUCAUCCGAGCUACGGAUUAUUUUAUAAUAAUUUUCAAAGAUUUAAUCAUAUUAAGGAAUUAUCUUAAUUCAAGAAUAAAAGUGAAGUUGCUAAGUGUACACAACAAGUGUACACAUCCUGGUCAUUAGAGGCUGACAGUGGGCCCUGUUGACCAGGUCAACUGUUUACCAGCUGACUGGUCAACUAGGUAGGGGACCCGCAUGUCAGUUUCUGUUAGUGUUAUCUAAUUAGCCAAUUAGGUAAUUAGGGAUAAUUAAGGAGAAUUAACUUAGUUACUUAAUUAAUUAAUUUAAUUAUUAUUUUUAUUAUAUAUAUUUUUGUUUCCAGGGGCUGGGCCCCACGUGCAGUGGCACACAGGCCUAAGCGGGCGCUGGGCGCUGGGCGUGGGUGCGGGCGUGCGCCCGUGGGAGCGGACUCCGGCCAGGGGGAGGGCAUGGCCCCGGGCGGGGACGGCGGCCACAGCAUGCGGUGGCCGCGCUGGCAGGCAGUGGCGCACGCGGGCUAAGGCGAGAGGCGGCUGCGGCGCGCGAUGCGGAGCGGCGGCCAGCGCAGGGUCACCGAUGGGCGCGCGAUGGGGGCGCUGGAGAGCAGGGUGUGGCCCUGGACGACGGCGACCCUGGUGCACGGGGAUUGCGGCGCUAGGAUCUGGCGGCGGGGGGGCUAAGCAGCGGCGUGGCCAGCGCGGUGAGAAGCAGAGGUGGGGCGCGGCAGAAGCAGUAGCGAACAGCAGGAGGCGAGGCAGGCGCGCGGCGGCUGUAGCGGGGCAGUUGCAGAGCGCGACCGGAUGGCGUGGGUCGCGUGUGCAGGGGCGCCCAGGAGCUCGUGGGCGUGCGCUGGGGUGAGCCCGGAGAGGGGCGUGGUCAGGGCCAUGGGCGAGCACGCGCGGAGCGAGCUUCGGCCAUGGCGGCGCAGCGCGGGGACGGCCUCAACGGCGACAAAUCGAAGCAGGGAGAGAGGGGUUUGGGAAAUAAGCUCACAGCGGUGCUUGCAGGGACAAGCAGCGGGCUCGGUGGUGGCGAAUUGAAGAUGGCCGCCUGCGAUGCAGAAAGUUGGAGACGGGGUUCGGUCGCGUCGUCUUGGUGCUCCUUCGGAGGCGUUCGUCGGUGUAGUGGAAGAAGACCCUGAGGCGGACCUCGCAGGCACAGUGUGCGGGCAAUUCAACGGUGGUGUCCACAGAUAUGGGCACCGCACGGCGACCGCGGCGCUCGGCCUCGAUCCAGAUCGAGAGAGAGGCGAGCGAGGGAGGAAGGGGAGGGGGUCGAGUGGGGAAAGUGGCAGGGGACCGAGGCGCCAGGGAGUGGCCUUAUCCCCCAGUCGGCGUGGCAGCGCGGGGCGCCGCACCGGGUCCGGCGGAGACGAGCGGUGUGGUCGGUCGGUCGGUCGAUUGAACAGGAGGGAGAGAAAGGGGUGACCGGGAAAGGGGGUUGCCACAGGCGGCAGGGCCUGCCUAGUUGCUAUGGCCCGGGGGGGUGGGGCUUUACUUCCUUUUGCUUUUGCCUUUUCUUUUAUUUCUUUUCUAUUUUCAUUUCUUUUUAAAACCAAAAUCAGUUUUCUAAACUAUAACACUUGCACCUAAAAUAGUAAUAUAAAUUAGGCUACUCCCACAAUUAGUUUGCCACCAAAUUAAAAUAGUCUACAAUUUUUUUAUGAUUUGAAAAGGCAUGUAAUAUUUGUUGUAGCCAUUGCUUUAAUUAUUUUAGGGUAUUCAAACAUUUAGUAAAAUUUUGGUUCACCACCUAUAAUUAGUCAUGGAUUAGUUGCCACAAGAAGAACAUUUUAUUUUUAAUAUUUGAAAACUUUUGUGGUUUGCCUUUAACUCAAAUUUGAAUUUGAAUCGUCUUGAACUAAUGCGAGAUUAACAACAAUGACCGUGGUGACGUGGCAUCAUUAACAAGGAAUUGUUGUAGCUUAAAUAUCCGGGCAUCACAAUUCUCCUCCACUACAAGAAAUCUCAUCCCGAGAUUUAAGAGGUAGAGUAAGGGGGAAAGAUCUGUUUACGAAAUUCUAACGAAUCUUCUCGGUCUUGGUUGCUCCUCUCGAAGUGGUCGAUCCAUUAUAUUGAUGUCUUUAUUUCUCUGCUUCAGGUCAUCAUGAUGAAGUCAACGUCCUUUCUUCAGGAACUCCAUCGUACUUACGAAAGAAUAAUGGGUGGGCAUUCCGGGAGAACAGACCUCUGUAAGGUCGACUAUCUGGUCGAUAAUACCGAGGAAGGUGGCGGAAGUCACUCGCGAAUUGAAACUUAAGAAGGCAAUCGUUCGAUGCCUGAAACAAUGCGUGAAAGGGGCUCAAGGCAACGAGUAUAGGUGUUGUGUUUAAUACCGUAAUUUGAUGAUCACACGGAAGGUGGCUCGUGAAUUACAUAUGAAGCCAAGCAUGAGGAAUAACCUUAGAAACAGGGUUGUACAAGAGAGUCAGGUUUCGAUCCUGCGGAACUGUGGGUUAUGGGCCCACCAUGUGGGUUAAAGUAGGGAGGACGGUGGCAUCUUGCACGAUCAUGAUAGCAAGGCAUGUCAGAGCGUAGCCUGUCAGUUAUAUGUCAGCAACAACGUCGGUACCAAGGGCGAGGGACGAAGAGAACCAUUUUCCUGCUCGUUGAAACGAGGCGGACCAAUAAGCAAGGUUCCCGUCCAUCGGUGGUUACUGGAAUGUCAUCGACAAUAGUAACAAAGUCUUACUGACAGAGUUGUACACCGAGGUGUUUGCACAAGCAGUGAAUUAUUACUGCUUAUAACAUAUAGAUCAUAGAAAGGGUUUAAACAAACCAAUGGAAAGAAAAAAAUUGUUUAUCAAAUUUAGUCAGAACAAUGGAAAGAAAAAAAUGUGUUUAAACACAUAAUUCAGGGGUAUAUCCUUCCCAAGGACCAGCAGAGCAUGAUAUCCAUGACAGGAUAUUAUGUAGAAAACUCCUUAGGUAGGGGAGAGAAAUUUCAUGACAUUGCCCAUACAACGGUGUUUGGAUAAUUGUGCAAGAAACAUUUAGCAUUGGGCUUCAAAUGUUCUUGUUGAAGAUCAGAGUAUCACAGACAUGCUUUCAGAUAGCAUUGACAUGGUCUUCAAGCAAAGGUCAUACUUUGGAUACACAAAGGAUCCAUCAUGAACAACUUAUAGAAUAAUCCUUACAAUUUCCUCAUGGGAGAAUGGCUAACCUUGCUAAAAGGAAGCGAUAACAAUAGGUCCUCCGGCCAGGUGUGCUAGGCAUGACAUCACCUUACCGAGUCAUAAGAGGACCAAUGUUAUAACUCUUGAAAGUAUGUUCCGACCAUCAUAUCUGACCGAGAUUCAGAUCUGAUUGGUGUGAGGAUACCUCAGGCUCAGGAUGCCUGAGAACAAAAGGUGUGACAAAAUGACGAGAAGACAUUAUAAGAUUCUCGGGAAAUGAACUAUGGAACCGAGUUCCGAAACAAGAGUUCAUCAGUAAACCAAGGAGAGGAUGAGGAGGUGGCUGAUGGACUCAGUGACAAAUCAUUGAGAUUUCCAAAGGGUGGAUUUCCACAAUUAUUUGAACAAGGAGAUAACAUUUGCCAGGUCAAAUGGUAUAAUGAUGUAUGCUUGAGGAAAACCUACACAAUUAAACAUUGGUUGAAAGAUGCACCCGAUAUAUGGGCUAGGUAGCAUGACCAAUGUUAGAAUGGUGAACCAAUAACCAAUAGUUUAAGAAUGAACUGUCAACCAGUAACUUCAAAGCAAUAGGGUUGCUAGAAGUUUUGAAAUUUCAUAUCACAGCCCAAUUGUCAGUAUUCCGGUUAGAAACAACACGGGGACCAAGAAAAGAAUGGUGAUCGUGAUAAGUAUCACUUAUAUCAAGAAUUCUCAAGAGGUGGUGAAAUUCUCACGACAUUCUUGACAUAAAAUAUGGUAAUACUCCAAGGUAAAGAAGAACAAUUGCUGGAUAGCAAGGAUCUCAAGGUACAACACAAAACAUGAACAAGUUUGUGUUGAACGAAAGGCAACAAAGUGGUCGAUGACAACACAAAUCAUCAAGGGCAAGCAUGGAAUUUUUCAUCAUGAAUUCAAUUGAUACCUCAGAAGAAGUUAAAAUGUUGACAAUGAUCACGACACACUUGUCGAGAGGUUUCUUGCAGAUGUAAUCGAUCAACGAUGACAUCAAGUCAAAGGAAUGAUGAAGCGGAAGGUUAUUGGAACCAUGGGUAGGACACAAACUUUAAAUCAAGCUUGUUGUUCAAGGAUAAACGAUAUGACGAGGAAGAUCGAUUAUAAGAUUAGCUCACCGUCAAAAAUUGUGCUCCAGGAAGAAGGAUCAGGUAGCACAGUUAAAAUUUGGCACGAUAAUGAUAUAGCCGAUCAGGCUAGGAAUGACUUGAAGGAUUAUUAAACUUGUAAGCAACGAAAAUUGCUUAAGAGUUAUUGAAUCGGAGUGCAGAAUCGAUUCACUUAUCGGUGUUCUCGGUCGACAAACAACCCAGAACCCAUGAAGUGGCAAAGACAAGGUAAGGUAGUACUUCAUCAAAGUUAAUAAUAUGUAGUGCAAUGGCAAGAUAUCCUCAAGAUACCAGGGGUAAUACUCAAAGGUAGAUCAUAAUAGAGGUUGGGCAGGCGUAUUGACCUGCAGAAGACAAGUGAUUUAACUUGUCCAAGAAAUGGAAUCAAGGAGAAAAUAUGGUCGGAACCAUGUUUGCAAAGGAUCGAUUCACUAUACCAAAUGAUAUUAUAUCAAGGAAAUAGUUAUUAUUACAAGAAGCUUUCAUGAUAGGAUCCACAUCGUGUCCACGGGCAUGAACACAAAGUUCAAGGUCGACUCCCACUUCUACAAUGCAUAACCUUUCAUUCACUUCUCGUUUUCGAAGAAUUUGUAGUGUUGAAAUUUUAUCUGGCAAAAUACCAGAAGAGUAUGACUCAUGAAAACUUUCAAGUUCACACAUAUUAAGGAAGGCAUAGGUUCAACCCAUCAGGGUCUUGUAGGAACAUAUAACACAAACUUCAGGAGUAAAUAACACAAGCUCGAAAGCAGAGCAUGGUUGGUCAAUCAGAGGAUAGGAUUUACCAAUGGAGAAAGAACUUCCAAAGUGUUAGAAUAUGAAGGACGCUAUCGGAUAAAAUCCAACAAAGGAUCCGAGGUCCUCAAGGGGUCUGAUGUGAGCAUCGGUACUCAACCAGAGGAGGAAACAAUGCAAGGAGAUCAGACUAUAGAAACAACUGACUAAUUCAAAUCUCAAAUGCAAAAGAAUUAUGAUUUUCGAUCAAGGGAUCAGAAGCAAAUGCUCUGAUUAAGGAUGUAUAAGUUGAAUAGACUUAGGGGUACAAUAGAUGGCAAUCUGAUUGAUUAAGAACCAGCUCAUAUUCAAACUGACACUGAGCCGGAAGGAUGAAUUCUAGGAUUCGAUUGAGGGAUGCGAGCACCCUCAACAUAUUGAAUCAACGGACUUAAAAUGAUAAAGACAAGGGAUGCCAAUAAUAUUACGAGACUUAUGGGAUUAACCAUAAUCCAAGCAAGCAAGAAUUUCAAGAGCAAUAGGCUGCUCAGGAUUUUUGGAAGAUCGAAUGGUAUUUCGAAGUCUAUUGCGAAACACAUGAACAACUGGGAAUGAGCGGAUACUUGAUAAGUGCGAGGAAUUAUCCGUAGGGGUAUUCAUGCGGCAAGAUCUGUAAGGCAGUAGGCACAAAAUAUUCUCGGAACAAUAGAGAGGAUUUCAGGGUAUCUUGUAAUAACAAGACCAACUGGGGAUAAAAGUAAGAACCGCAAGUGUAUGUAUUUAUCCAUAGGGAUAUUUUGAUGGUAGGGAAUUGCAAAAGCAACGGGCACAAGUCUCAAAAGAGUAUCGGAGAGUAACUUCGAAAUCUUCUGGUGCAACAGACGAUCAUCUGUAACAAGGGGCUCUCUAGUAGAAAGUUGUUACGAGAACCUAAUGUUAGAGUUUAGCAAAUUCAUUUAACCCAAAUAGAAGAGAGAACAGAGUCCCAGAGUAUAGGUCGAGGAAUAAAAGAUCCUAAUACCACCCAAUGGCGACGUGGGCCCGUAAGCCGCACAGCCAUGUUAGUAAAAACUUUUUCAAUGACUAGACUCGACUUCGGCCAAGGAGUUGGAAAGGGGGAUUCCUACAGGAGUCGGCUCUGAUACCAACUUGUGACGCCCCCGAUUCAAUCGUACACUAAUCAUACACGCAAACAUGUACGAUCAAGAUCAGGGACUCACGGGAAGAUAUCACAACACAACUCUAAAAAUAAGUCAUACAAGCAUCAUAAUACAAGCCAGGGGCCUCGAGGGCUCGAAUAAAAAUGCUCGAUCAUAGAUGAGUCAGCGGAAGCAACAAUAUCUUAGUACAGACAUAAGUUAGACAAGUUGCCUUAAGAAGGCUAGCACAAACUGGGAUACAGAUUGAAAGAGGUGUAGGCCUCCUGCCUGGGAUACUCCUAACUACUCCUGGUCGUCGUCAGCGGGCUGCACGUAGUAGUAGGCACCUCCGGUGUAGUAGGAGUCGUCGUCAACGGUGGCGUCUGGAUCCUGGGCUCCCUCGUCUGGUCGCAGCAAUCAGGUAUAGAAAAAGGGAAAAGGGGGAACAAGGCAACCGUGAGUACUCAUCCAAUGUACUCGCAAGCAAGGAGCUACACUACA